GCAAUCAGUCGGGCGGUCGCGAUUUAGACUCUUUAAGAGUCUAAAUCGAGGAAAGUCCGGGCUCCGUGGAUAAGGCUGCCAGGUAACACCUGGGAAUCAGAGAAGUGAUUCUCUGGUUACGGAAAGUGCCACAGAAAACAGACCGCCAAGGGAAACCGAGGUAAGGGUGAAAUGGUGGGGUAAGAGCCCACCGCGCUUAUGGCAACACAAGCGGCAUGGUAAACCCCAGUUGGAGCAAGGCCAAGUAAACGGCGAGAGAUUAUCCACCUCGAUAAAGACGCCAUGGGUAGGCUGCUAGAGACCACGAGUGAUCGUGGUUCGAGACAAAUGACCGUCGAGAUGGCUCAGCCAUCAGACAGAACCCGGCUUAUAGACUGAUUGCCUGA
rnacentral:RNase_P_RNA from 1 species